UUUUGUCAUGCACACAGGUAAUAGAUGCUCUCAUUAGUUUAGUCGUCAUUUGUUGCGGACUGAUGAUGUGGACGGCGAGAUACUUCGUCUCGAAGUCCUUGAUUCGAAAGUUUGUUUCAUUGUUCUGUCUCCAAUUCCCAAAGUUUUCCCGAUGCAACUCAAAAACGGAGUUCGAAUUCUCUUUACCUCUAAUUGAUAUUCUUUCCGGCGUUGGGGAAUCUGACCGUGUGCUGUUAUUCACGGAGGCUGAUUACAUAUAUCUGCCUUUUAACUUUGACAAAAAGCAUUAGGUAGCUUUAGCUGUUGAUCUAAAAUGCCGGAAAAUCAUUGCAUUGUCUUCGAUUCGAAUAUCCAAUGCCGCAAGGAUUCUGCUUUUCAGGAUGAGCUUAUGCCUCUCGCAGCAAAGCUGCCAUACCUUUUCAAACAAGCAGCCUUCAAUCCUCUUAUGAGUCAAUUUCUUCUGGAUCCAUUUUCUAUACAGCGCCCUUCUGUCAUUCUACUGGUAACUUCACCUCUUGACACAUGCAUAUAAUCUAGACUUU
rnacentral:sRNA from 1 species